rnacentral:rRNA from 1 species
UAAUACAGAGGGUGCAAGCGUUAAUCGGAGUUACUGGGCGUAAAGGGCGCGUAGGCGGAUAGUUGAGUGAGAUGUGAAAUCCCUGGGCUUAACCUAGGAACUGCAUCUUAUACUGGUUAUCUAGAGUACUGUAGAGGGUAGUGGAAUUUCCGGUGUAGCGGUGAAAUGCGUAGAGAUCGGAAGGAACACCAGUGGCGAAGGCGACUACCUGGACAGAUACUGACGCUGAGGCGCGAGAGCGUGGGGAGCAAACAGGAUUAGAUACCCUGGUAGUCCACGCUGUAAACGAUGAAGACUAGAUGUUGGUAGGCAUGACCUAUUAGUAUCGAAGCUAACGCGAUAAGUCUUCCGCCUGGGGAGUACGGUCGCAAGAUUA